rnacentral:rRNA from 1 species
GGAAAGUUGCAAAGCACUUUGAAGAGAGAGUUAAAGAGGACGUGAAACCGGUGAGGUAGAAGCGGAUAGAGCCAACGCAUCUAUUGGCCCGCAUUCAGCCGUCGGCAUGGUGGUCGAGCCGUGAGCUACCGGACCCGCUUCUGGCCGGCUCGCUGCUGGUAGCCGUCACUGCCUGUCGUCGGUGCAUUUGCGGGUGUAGUGCGCUGAGUUGUGUGCCACAGCGGUCCGAGGCGCUCGCCAGAGGACUCCCCCUCGUGGGGAGCAACCCGGCAGCGUGGACGACUGUUUGGGUUGCAGCCACAAGAAUGGCGGGGUGGCCUUCAGCGGCCUUCGCCCAGGCAUCGCUCCAGCCCACUGGUGCCGGUCACAUGUGACACGGGCCGGUGGGCGGGUGCCGGUGGUUGGCGGGUCCCGCCCCGCCCGCAUAGUCUCGGCGUAAAAGUUGGUCAUCUCUCCGACCCGUCUUGAAACACGGACCAAGGAGUUUAGCCUAUGCGCGAGUCACUGGGUGGAAAACCCACGGGCGCAAUGAAAGUGAGAGGCCGGUGGCUCGCUGCCGGCGGAUAUGCGAUCCAGUGGCCCGCUUGCGGGCGGCUGGCGCAGCAUAGCCCCGUCCCGAUCGCUUGCGAUGGGGCGGCGGAAGAGCGCAUGGGCUGAGACCCGAAAGAUGGUGAACUAUGCCUGAGCAGGACGAAGCCAGAGGAAACUCUGGUGGAAGUCCGAAGCGGUUCUGACGUGCAAAUCGAUCGUCUGACUUGGGUAUAGGGGCGAAAGACUAAUCGAACCAUCUAGUAGCUGGUUCCCUC